rnacentral:rRNA from 1 species
CCUACGGGAGGCAGCAGUAGGGAAUUUUUCACAAUGGGCGAAAGCCUGAUGGAGCAACGCCGCGUGCAGGAUGAAGGCCUUCGGGUUGUAAACUGCUUUUAUAAGCGAGAAAUAUGAUGGUAACUUAUGAAUAAGGAUCGGCUAACUACGUGCCAGCAGCCGCGGUCAUACGUAGGAUCCGAGCAUUAUCCGGAGUGACUGGGUGUAAAGAGUUGCGUAGGUGGCAUAAUAAGUAGCUAGUGAAAUCUGGUGGCUCAACCAUUCAGACUAUUAGCUAAACUGUUAAGCUCGAGACCGUUAGGGGUAACUGGAAGUUCUAGUGUAGGAGUGAAAUCCGUAGAUAUUAGAAGGAACACCAAUAGCGUAGGCAGGUUGCUGGGACGGUUCUGACACUAAGGCACGAAAGCGUAGGGAGCAAACGGGAUUAGAUACCCUUGUAGUC